UACGUACUGGGCGAACGUUAUUCGGAAUCACUGGGCUUAAAGGGUGCGUAGGCGGCUUCUCAGGUCCGGUGUGAAAUCUUACGGCUCAACCGUAAAAUGGCGCUGGAAACCGGGAGGCUUGAGUGUGCUAGGGGUGUGUGGAACUUCCAGUGGAGCGGUGAAAUGUGUUGAUAUUGGAAGGAACGCCGGUGGCGAAAGCGACACACUGGGGCAUAACUGACGCUGAGGCACGAAAGCUAGGGUAGCGAACGGGAUUAGAAACCCCAGUAGUCC
rnacentral:rRNA from 1 species